GGGUCAGUAGGUUGGUCGUGCCACCGGUACGUACUGGUCUCACUGAUUCCUCCUUCCUGAAGAACCGUAAUGCCAUUAAUUUGGUGUUGCGGGGAAACAGGACUGUUACUUUGAGAAAAUUAGAGUGUUUAAAGCAAGCUAACGCUUGAAUACAUUAGCAUGGAAUAAUGAAAUAGGACGAUCGAUCCUAUUUUGUUGGUUUCUAGAAUUGACGUA
rnacentral:rRNA from 1 species